UCUCUCUCUCUCUCUCUCUCUCUCUCUCGAUCCGUUAGGGUUUCGAUUUUUGUUCUCUCUUUGAAUCCGUUCGGGUUGUGGAUUCUGAUUUCUCCCUCUCGAUCGCUCUCUCUGGUGAUCUUGCUCUCGUCUGAAUCUGACACUCUCGUCGCGAAUCGCGUCCUUCCGGAGCUUGAGGUGCAGGGAUUCGGAACUGCGCCGAGUUUGGAGGUCUCAACUCGGAUCCGAGGGCAGAACCAAAGACUAGAUCUUCUGGUGUUCACGAAGACUAGAUCACUCGAUCAAACAUCAAAGUUUCACAAACAAGGUUUAGGUUUAGAUGGGUAGACCCGAAGUGGACGUGAUCCCCGUGCCUGAAAAUCUCAAGACUCUAUGGGAGAAUCUCGAUCCAAGACAUCAAGACUACGUGGAAAAGCGCAUAGGCUUCCUCCCAACUUUAUUAAAAGUCGAACCACGUAUUGCAAUGGUCAAAGCAUUGGCUCAUUUUUGGAAUCCUGUGACUUCUACUUUCGUGUUUAAUCAAUAUGAAUUAACCCCUACAAUUGAGGAGUUCCAGAAAGCCAUUGGAUUAGGUAAAGCUUCUUUAGGUUUCGUCACUCCUUCUAUUGGCCAAAAUCCAAUCUCUCUUCUAAGUCAAUUCCUCAAUAUCCCUUAUGAUAAAAUUGAGGCUAUUCUUAUUGGAAAUUUUCAUGCCAUGCCUUAUAAUUUCCUUGAACAACAUUUCCUUAGCCUUAAGCCUAAAUCUGGGAACCAAAUUCCUCGUGUCUUCCUACUCAUAUUCUUUGGCUUUGUGAUAUUUCCAUAUACCCGAAAAACAAUGGAUCCUUUAGUCGCUCAUAUUGUCAACCAAGUGUGCGCAUUUAAUUGUUUCACACACAUGAUUCUUGCCGAAACUUUUGUGUCUCUUAAUCAGUUCAAAGCAAAUGGUCGAGGAACUUUUAAAGCCCCAUUAGGACUUCUCCAAAUUUGACUCUUUUCACAUAUCAAAGAGUUUGCCCCUCACAUGAAGGUUCUUGAUGUCACAAAAUAUCAUCAUCCAAUUCUUAGAUUUUCCCAAAGAAACGAAUCCUUUCCAUCAUGGUCUUUCUCUAGGUGGUUCCAUUUCCUCAAAAGCCUCAACCCUAGCUUAAUUCAAUGGCAUGUUCGAUGGCUUGGGAAUCCGAGGUGCGCCUUUUUAGUGGAGUUGACCAUCCACUCCCCCUCGUGGGGCUGACUGGUUUAACGUCAUAUUACCCUUUAAGGGUACUCCGCCAAUAUCGCGCGCUUCAAACGAUCCCGCUAAUCCUCAAGCUAGGGUUAUAUCGUAUUGAUUAUCACGAUAAAGUCAUCAAGGAAAACCAAAUAGACAUAUAAUACGCUUGAUUUGGCAAUUGUUUGCCCUGUCAUAUGUUUGUUGCAAAAUAGAAGUCAAUGUCUUCAUGAAUUCUGCUCCUCAUAUCUGAAAGUCUGCUGUCCCAGAAUGAUUUUUAUAAAAUGGUGUGUUCUCAAUCUGACAAUAAGGUCAUAUAGCUUUAAUGCUUGUCAUGUUAUACGUUUCA